rnacentral:lncRNA from 1 species
GCAUUUUUUGAAGAGUGAAAAUCCUCCCUUUGGCCAUUAAAGCAUGGAUAGGAAAAUUACCAGUUUCUUGAUCUAGUAAUUGUCUUGGCCCUAGAAGCCAAAUGGAAAUCAAUAAGUAAGGGGUGGUGAUCGAAUAAUAAAUUUAGUAUUUUGUUCCAUAAUGGUUCUAUCUCAUUCCAUCAAGUUAAUUUAAUUGAGAAUGACAUGCUAGCAGUAAUAGCUGG